rnacentral:lncRNA from 1 species
AAAAUUAAACACAACAACGAAAACCCAAUGUCAAACCCAAAACACAAUGAAGAAAAUGGAUAAACCCAUUUACCUUGCUCGAACCACCAUGGUCACCGGAGAAUGCCAUUGCGCACAAUGAGGAAUAUAAGAGCGAAUGAAAUGGAGGACCAAAAUGAGGAGAGCGGACUUUGGGUUCGUCCCACACAAAUGAGGACCUUCACUAAAGGUUGAAGCUUUGGGUUCAUCCCUCGCAAAUCACGAGCUUCACCAAAGGUUCGAAAGAGCACAAAAAUGGAGGGAGAAUGAAAAUGAGGAGAGAGAACUAGAAUGAAGAAAGAGAACGAAAAUUGGGGAAUAUGAGAGAAUGGAGAGAUCAAAUACGGUGAGGGGUAAUUUUGGAAUGAGCAAUCUCUUAACCCUAUGACCCUUUCUACGUCACAUUUUCAUAUUUUAAUUUUAUUCCAAAUGGACCAAUGAGAUGCUGACACGUGGUGUUGUAAAAAAGUUAUUAAAAUAUAGUUGUCAAUAUAUCGAGAUCCUUUUAAAUAAUGUAUCCGUUAGUAUUAAAAUGUUUAGAUUCCUUAUGAUUGUUUUGGUGUACUUGUAAACAACUUUUUUU